CGCAUUUAAAACGUUAUGUAUCUGCUCAUGUCUAAGAAAUUUAUAGUCGUUUGCGUUUCUCUUAAGCGGACUGUUAAUUUGAUUUUCACGUAUAGUGUUUUGUAAAUUAUUUUCAGGUAUUUUGUGUACAAUUUAGCGGUGUGUUUUUUCCUUCAAUUUCUUUUGUUAUUGUGACAUACCAUUUUUUCAAAGAUUUUUUCAAAAAGUUGAUAAUAUGUAAGGAUAUAUUAACCAUACAAUGAAGUUAACAAAUUUAACCAAAAAAAUAUUGAAGAAAAUAGCUGGAUGCAUUUGUCCGUGGAUUUAGUCUACAUGCAUGAUCAAUAGUAAUUAUCUUAGUGGUGCCCAAAGAAAGGAAAAUAAAUAUUCAAAGUCCGGAUAGAGAGAAAUUAUGAUUAAAGAGAAACACUUGUUAGUAUUUGCAACCAGAUGACACCAUAGCGUUCAGUUAAUGUAUUUUAUAAAUGAAUAUCAAACAUAUUUUCAUCUGAGUAAAAAAUGAGCAUACUCUAACUAAAUCAAAACAAUGAUCACCAUAUUAAAAGUUUGGCAUACUUUUGGCAUCGGUGUAGUAGUAAUGUUUUUUUUUUUUUGACAAUUUAGUACUACUUGCUCAUAGUAUUUCCUAUAGUAUUUCUUCAAGAACCGUUUAAUAACCAUUUCAUUUUUAAUCUUUCGUUUGAUAAUCAUUGGACAUUGAUGGUUAUCAAAUGACCUUUUAACUAUUUAUAAAAGUGGUCUUAAAUUU
rnacentral:lncRNA from 1 species